UGAGAAGAAUGUUAACAAAUUCAUUGUUACUGCAAGGUAAGUUACAUAAGGCAGUGGUUCUCAAAGUGGGGUCCGGGGACCCCUUGGGGUCUGCGACCCAUAGGGUUUUAUCAUUUUAAAAAUGUAUAUCUAUGGAUGAUGCCCCUUUUCACCCAUAAAACAAGCAAAUUGUGUCUUUUUUCUCCUACCCACAUUUAACUUCACUUAGGUCAUGAAGAACCAUUCCUACUACUGCUUAGCUUGGCUUAUUUGUUAGCCAGCUAGCUGAUGAAUGUGUAGGCCACAACUUCAGAGAAUACAAAUGACAUGCUUAAUUGUUACGGUUAUAAGGGGGUCCUCGGAAAAUGUUCUCCCCCAAAAGGGGUCCUUGAAACCAAAAACAUUGAGAACCCCUGACAUAAGGCUUUAUAGCGGACCCUUGGUUCACGAGGCUGCAGCGAGGCUGAUGAGAGGCGCCACCCCAGAGUCGUUCCUCAAUGGGGGGCCAAUCCCCCUGCAGCUCUUCAGAGAUCUCGAACGCGCCGUGCUGGACUCCCUGGAUGACGACAUCAGGGACCGGCUGCAGAAAGAGCCGCAACAACAUUACCCAACGAGAAGAGCCCAAACUAGAGGGAACUUGGUAGAAUUUGCCAGACAAUUCUAUCACGAGGAUGAAGAUGAUAAAGAUUAUGGUGAAAGGAGAGGCAGGCGAAGUCUGAGGAUGAGGAAGCCUGUGUCCAAAUCAUUACCCGACACAAGAAGAGCAGGGCUCUCCGAGCUUGCAGCCCUGGUAUUAAACUGAAUAAGCGAGACAGAGUGCUGGGACUGAGAGCCUUAUAAAUGUGUUGCACUCAAGAUGAAAACAUAAUGGAAUGAAUAUUUGCUUAUUCAUCUUUUAAUAUAUUUUAAUGUUUUUAGACUUGUUACUUUUGUUGUACCAACUAUAUUCACAUGAUGUAUAUAUGAUGAAAUGGUUAUAUAUGGUGUUUUGUUUUGUUUGUGUAUUUUCUUUUAAAGUCUCUGGAUAUUAUAAUAUUUACCUUAUGUUAGUUAAGGAAAGUUAGACUUUUCACCAAUCUGCAAAAAAAAUCUUAUUAAUACCUUGAGUUGGAUCAAUUUUAAACUGAUUAAGGAAGUUUUGUUUUGUAAUUGUUCAAUAAAACCACUUAUUAUGGA